GACGAACGCUGGCGGCGUGCUUAACACAUGCAAGUCGAACGGUGAAGCGCCUUCCUUUUUGGUGGGUGUGGAUGAGUGGCGAACGGGUGAGUAACACGUGAGUAACCUGCCCCCUUCUUCUGGAUAACCGCAUGAAAGUGUGGCUAAUACGGGAUAUUCUGGGUCUGUCGCAUGAUGGGUCUGGGAAAGAUAUUGGUUCGGUGGGGGAUGGGCUCGCGGCCUAUCAGCUUGUUGGUGGGGUGAUGGCCUACCAAGGCGGUGACGGGUAGCCGGCCUGAGAGGGUGGACGGUCACACUGGGACUGAGACCCGGCCCAGCCUCCUACGGGAGGCAGCAGUGGGGAAUAUUGCACAAUGGGCGCAAGCCUGAUGCAGCGACGCCGCGUGCGGGAUGGAGGCCUUCGGGUUGUGAACCUCUUUCGCCAGUGAAGCAGGCCUGCCUCGUUUGUGGGUGGGUUGACGGUAGCUGGAUAAGAAGCGCCGGCUAACUACGUG
rnacentral:rRNA from 1 species